UGGUAGGGAACAUGUUCCCAUAGCUCCAAAAAAGAGCUGUGUAUAUUCCAGUCAGCUGCUGAAUGCACCAUAUGUGCAGGGGACAGGGGGCUUUGCUGCAGCAUCAAAACAGCAAGCCACACCCUUUUGGUCUGUGUAGUUUUGGCAUGAACAUUAGCCACACCUUUCUCCUUGGAUUCAACAAAGUAUUGGGCAUGCAGGGCAGAAGGGGCAAGUUUACAACCAUUAUGAGCCUGCAUUGAUCCAAACUGGGCUAGACAAAACAGUGGAGACCUCACUGCAGUUGUCCAGACGCCUAAGGUGACAACUGAAAGUCAAAGAUGCUUUUGUGUCAGUUGGUUGAGGGGGCUUGUGAAAAGACUUCUGUGGGGAUUAAUUUUCAAACUUUUGAGAGAAAAUACAAUUUUGAGACUCUUGGGUGAAAUUGUUAGAGUCUUUAGAAAGAAAGGAGAAUACUGGUCCUAAAACAAUAGAUAAAGGAAUAAAAAGGGGCAUGAAGUGCAAAAAUGUUUCAGUAGUUGAAAAUGUUGAACCUUAUGUUCCUAGUUUUCUUAGCUAUUGGUCUGUAGCUUAAUAAAACAUUAUCUGAUAAGGAA